AGUGAACGUUGGCGGCGUGGAUUAGGCAUGCAAGUCGAGCGAGAACCGUAGCAAUACGGGGACAGCGGCGAAAGGGACAGUAAUGUGUAGGUACCUACCCCGAGGUCUGGGAUAGCUGCGGGAAACUGCAGGUAAUACCGGAUAAUGUCUUCGGACCAAAGGUGUGAUUCCACCUUGGGAGGGGCCCGCAUCCUAUUAGCUUGUUGGCGGGGUAACGGCCCACCAAGGCGACAAUGGGUAGCGGGUGUGAGAGCACGACCCGCGUCAUUGGGACUGAGAUACUGCCCAGACACCUACGGGUGGCUGCAGUCGGGGGUCUUCGGGAAUGGGCGGAAGCCUGACCGAGCGCCGCCGCGUGCGGGAUGAAGGGCUUCGGGUUGUAAACCGCUGUCGUAGAGGAGGAAAUGCAGGGGGGUUCUCCCUUCUGUUUGACCUAUUCUAGGAGGAAGGACGGGCUAAGUUCGUGCCAGCCGCCGCCGUAA
rnacentral:rRNA from 1 species